rnacentral:rRNA from 1 species
CCGGCCUACUAAAUAGUGACCGGAUCGUCUAGUCCGGGACGCUUCUUAGAGGGACAAGCGGCGCUUAGCCGCAUGAAAUGGAGCAAUAACAGGUCUGUGAUGCCCUUAGAUGUCCGGGGCUGCACGCGCGCUACACUGGAGGAGGCAGCGUGCAUUACCAUUGCCGAAAGGCAUUGGUAAACCGGUGAAAAUCCUCCGUGAUCGGGAUCGGGAAUUGCAAUUAUUUCCCUUGAACGAGGAAUUCCCAGUAAGUGUGGGUCAUCAGCUCGCGCUGAUUACGUCCC